rnacentral:rRNA from 1 species
AACGCUAGCUACAGGCUUAACACAUGCAAGUCGAGGGGCAGCAUGGACAUAGCUUGCUAUGUCUGAUGGCGACCGGCGCACGGGUGCGUAACACGUAUCCAAUCUGCCCGUCACUCGGGGAUAGCCUUCUGAAAGGAAGAUUAAUACCCGAUGGCAUGCAUUUCCGGCAUCGGAGAUGCAUUAAAGAUUUAUCGGUGACGGAUGAGGAUGCGUACGAUUAGCUUGUUGGCGGGGUAACGGCCCACCAAGGCAACGAUCGUUAGGGGUUCUGAGAGGAAGGUCCCCCACACUGGAACUGAGACACGGUCCAGACUCCUACGGGAGGCAGCAGUGAGGAAUAUUGGUCAAUGGUCGGAAGACUGAACCAGCCAAGUAGCGUGAAGGAUGAAGGUUCUAUGGAUUGUAAACUUCUUUUAUACGGGAAUAAAGCCCGCUACGUGUAGCGGUUUGUAUGUACCGUAUGAAUAAGCAUCGGCUAACUCCGUGCCAGCAGCCGCGGUAAUACGGAGGAUGCGAGCGUUAUCCGGAUUUAUUGGGUUUAAAGGGAGCGUAGACGGGAUGUUAAGUCAGUUGUGAAAGGCUGCGGCUCAACCGCAGCACUGCAGUUGAUACUGGCGUCCUUGAGUGCGGUUGAGGUAUGUGGAAUUCGUGGUGUAGCGGUGAAAUGCUUAGAUAUCACGAAGAACUCCGAUUGCGAAGGCAGCAUACUAAGCCGCUACUGACGUUGAGGCUCGAAAGUGUGGGUAUCAAACAGGAUUAGAUACCCUGGUAGUCCACACGGUAAACGAUGAAUACUCGCUGUUGGCGAUACAAUGUCAGCGGCCAAGCGAAAGCAUUAAGUAUUCCACCUGGGGAGUACGCCGGCAACGGUGAAACUCAAAGGAAUUGACGGGGGCCCGCACAAGCGGAGGAACAUGUGGUUUAAUUCGAUGAUACGCGAGGAACCUUACCCGGGCUUAAAUUGCAGAGGACAGAUUGGGAGACCAAUCCUUCUUCGGACUUCUGUGAAGGUGCUGCAUGGUUGUCGUCAGCUCGUGCCGUGAGGUGUCGGCUUAAGUGC